rnacentral:rRNA from 1 species
CCUACGGGCGGCAGCAGUGGGGAAUAUUGCGCAAUGGGCGCAAGCCUGAUCCAGCAACGCCGCGUGAAGGAAGAAGUAUUUCGGGUUGUAAACUUCUUUUCUGAGGGACGAAGAAAGUGACGGUACCUCAGGAAUAAGCCACGGCGAACUACGUGCCAGCAGCCGCGGUAAUACGUAGGUGGCAAGCGUUAUCCGUAUGUAUUGGGUGUAAAGGGAGUGUAGGCGGGAAAGCAAGUCAGAUGUGAAAACUCAGGGCUCAACCCUGGGACUGCAUUUGAAACUGUUUUUCUUGAGUGCUGGAGAGGCAAGCGGAAUUCCUGGUGUAGCGGUGAAAUGCGUAGAUAUAAGGAGGAACACCAGUGGCGAAGGCGGAUUGCUGGACAGUAACUGACGCUGAGGCGCGAAAGCGUGGGGAGCAAACAGGAUUAGAUACCCGGGUAGUC